UACGGAGGGUGCAAGCGUUAUCUGGAUUCAUUGGGUUUAAAGGGUGCGCAGGUUGGAUAGUAAGUCAGUGGUGAAAUACUGUCGCUUAACGGUAGAACUGUUAUUGAUAUUGUUGUUCUUGAGUAUGGUUGAGGUAGGUGGAAUGUGUUGUGUAGCGGUGAAAUGCAUAGAUAUGACACAGAACGCCGAUUGCGAAGGCAACUUACUAAGCCAUUACUGACGCUGAGGCACGAAAGCGUGGGGAGCGAACAGG
rnacentral:rRNA from 1 species